rnacentral:rRNA from 1 species
UGCGCAGGCGGUUAUGUAAGACAGAGGUGAAAUCCCCGCGCUUAACGUGGGCAUUGCAUUUGAAACUAUGUAGCUAGAGUUCUGUAGAGGGGGGUAGAAUUCCAGGUGUAGCGGUGAAAUGCGUAGAGAUCUGGAGGAAUACCGAUUGCGAAGGCAGCCCCCUGGACAGUGACUGACGCUCAUAUGCGAAAGCGUGGGGAUCAAACAGGAUUAGAUACCCGCGUA